UACGUAGGGGGCAAGCGUUGUCCGGAUUCAUUGGGCGUAAAGAGCGUGUAGGCGGCCAGGUAGGUCGGUUGUGAAAACUGGAGGCUCAACCUUCAGAGGUCGACCGAAACCAUCUGGCUAGAGUCCGGGAGAGGAGACUGGAAUUCCUGGUGUAGCGGUGAAAUGCGCAGAUAUCAGGAGGAACACCGAUGGCGAAGGCAGGUCCCUGGGCCACUACUGACGCUGAGAAGCGAAAGCAUGGGGAGCGAACAGG
rnacentral:rRNA from 1 species